CUGGUAUUGAUUGGUGCUUGCAUCAUGAUUUACAUUUGAGUGAGUGGCGAACUGGUGAGUAACACGUGGGAAACCUGCCCAGAAGCGGGGGAUAACACCUGGAAACAGAUGCUAAUACCGCAUAACAACUUGGACCGCAUGGUCCGAGCUUGAAAGAUGGCUUCGGCUAUCACUUUUGGAUGGUCCCGCGGCGUAUUAGCUAGAUGGUGGGGUAACGGCUCACCAUGGCAAUGAUACGUAGCCGACCUGAGAGGGUAAUCGGCCACAUUGGGACUGAGACACGGCCCAAACUCCUACGGGAGGCAGCAGUAGGGAAUCUUCCACAAUGGACGAAAGUCUGAUGGAGCAACGCCGCGUGAGUGAAGAAGGGUUUCGGCUCGUAAAACUCUGUUGUUAAAGAAGAACAUAUCUGAGAGUAACUGUUCAGGUAUUGACGGUAUUUAACCAGAAAGCCACGGCUAACUACGUGCCAGCAGCCGCGGUAAUACGUAGGUGGCAAGCGUUGUCCGGAUUUAUUGGGCGUAAAGCGAGCGCAGGCGGUUUUUUAAGUCUGAUGUGAAAGCCUUCGGCUCAACCGAAGAAGUGCAUCGGAAACUGGGAAACUUGAGUGCAGAAGAGGACAGUGGAACUCCAUGUGUAGCGGUGAAAUGCGUAGAUAUAUGGAAGAACACCAGUGGCGAAGGCGGCUGUCUGGUCUGUAACUGACGCUGAGGCUCGAAAGUAUGGGUAGCAAACAGGAUUAGAUACCCUGGUAGUCCAUACCGUAAACGAUGAAUGCUAAGUGUUGGAGGGUUUCCGCCCUUCAGUGCUGCAGCUAACGCAUUAAGCAUUCCGCCUGGGGAGUACGGCCGCAAGGCUGAAACUCAAAGGAAUUGACGGGGGCCCGCACAAGCGGUGGAGCAUGUGGUUUAAUUCGAAGCUACGCGAAGAACCUUACCAGGUCUUGACAUACUAUGCAAAUCUAAGAGAUUAGACGUUCCCUUCGGGGACAUGGAUACAGGUGGUGCAUGGUUGUCGUCAGCUCGUGUCGUGAGAUGUUGGGUUAAGUCCCGCAACGAGCGCAACCCUUAUUAUCAGUUGCCAGCAUUAAGUUGGGCACUCUGGUGAGACUGCCGGUGACAAACCGGAGGAAGGUGGGGAUGACGUCAAAUCAUCAUGCCCCUUAUGACCUGGGCUACACACGUGCUACAAUGGAUGGUACAACGAGUUGCGAACUCGCGAGAGUAAGCUAAUCUCUUAAAGCCAUUCUCAGUUCGGAUUGUAGGCUGCAACUCGCCUACAUGAAGUCGGAAUCGCUAGUAAUCGCGGAUCAGCAUGCCGCGGUGAAUACGUUCCCGGGCCUUGUACACACCG
rnacentral:rRNA from 2 species